AUUCAGCCCUCUUUCGCCAUCCCUUUCUGUCUACAGACGCAGCUUCAACUUUGCACGGUCGCUGACGAAGGAAACGAGGAGGAGCUCGGCAGCUUUCCAUUAAUGGAGUCCAAGGGGCAGGGCGCGCGCGGCAAAGAGAAGAAGCUGAAACGCAAAGAGGUCCUGGAGAAGAAGAGAGCAGUCGACGAGCUGGUAAGGGCGGCUUCCUCCGAAACCGACCAUCUCGCGUCCUUCCAGGCGUUUCGCCAUUACAACCGCAACGGUGUCUCUGUUUAUUUGGAUUCGGGACGUGGAGAUAGGUUGUCUUCUUCUGUCAAGCAGUAUGUGUACACCCUGCUUAAGGCCAACAUGGAGGGUCCUUUCGGAGCUGAGUGGCCUGUGGAAGAGAAGGUGAAGCGCCGGGAAAUGGUCACUUCCGAGGCGCGCUAUGUAUUUGUUCACGAUGUUGCGAAUGCUGGUGCUGACGGGAUGCCGUCGGUGGCCCAAGUGAGAAAAGAAGUCGCUGAUGGCAUGUCGGAGACCGUAAGCAUUGUUGGGUUUGUUCACUUCCGCUUUCUUGUGGAGGAAGAAAUACCUGUCCUCUACGUGUACGAGAUACAGCUUGAGCCUCGUGUCCAAGGGAAGGGGCUGGGUAAAUUCUUGAUGCAGUUGAUCGAGCUUAUCGCUAGAAAGAAUCGCAUGGGUGCAGUGGUACUUACGGUACAGAAAACAAAUUUGUCAGCUAUGAAGUUCUAUACUAGUAAGCUGAGAUACAUUGUAUCAUCAAUUUCACCAUCAAGAGUCAAUCCAUUGCUGGGCAGUGAGGCAAGCUAUGAAAUUCUUUCCAAAGCAUUUGAACCCGAAGCCAAAGCUGUAUUGGAGGAAGGUGAUUGAAGUGUCCGACAAUGACUGUUGAGCCACCCUCUUAUUUAGGUCAGUUCAGUGACUUAUAUUGGAUCGAUGUAAGCUAUAUAGGAGGAUCACUCAUUUCAUUUGUCAACACUUGAGUUAUAUUGGAAAUGUUAUUUCACUUCACCAGGAUGCAUAUGAUUUAGGCCAGUGGUGCUUAGGAGAAACAAAGGGCGUUAUUGUUUUCUGGCACUGAGGAUAUUGCAAGUUCUUGCUGAAAUUCUGGCGUAGAUCUUAGCCAUGAAGCACAUUUGAAAGGUCUGAGGCCCUUGUUGUAUUCCUGCUUCAUAUUGAAGCUAUUAAGUGACGAGGACAGGGUUCUUCUCAUUUCUGGCUGAAUUAGCUCAUCCAUUGCAUGGUGCUAAAUCUUUCAACAUCUAUUACAGAUGCCAUAAAUUUUAUGUAUCCAACCAGGUGUUGGGAACCGUGUCCAAAUUAUCCUGGAUACAGUUUAUUGAUGUUUCCUGUGCCAUAUUGUACACUAAAUGUAACAGAAUGAACCCUGAAAAUGAUGCUUCUUAUUAUUUGUUGCCUGAUUUAGUCUAGAAACUCUACUUGCAAA